ACAGUUAUAAAAAUAAUUUAGACGGUCUUGUGUCUACAUCAUGUUGAAGGUUGUGUCUGUCACGAAGUUGGUUAGGUAUUGCAAUGGGCACUAGCAUUACAACCACUGAACUCUACUACUAGAAUGGCCCCGAUCACUUGCUGCGCAUUGGAGGCCUGAAGCCACCGGAAGUAUAGAAGUCGCCAUGUUGUUUCACCCAAAACAAGAAAGCCAACAACUAAGAGGAGUUCGAGAUGCCGUCUUGUGCUGCUAUAAUUGCACAAAUCGUGAUACUCGUGAAAAUCGCGACAAGGGACUUACGUUUCACAGAUUUCCACACUGCAAUGCUCAACUUCUAAAGCAAUGGGUAGUAAAUAUGCGGAGAGACAGGUGGAUUCCUGCAGCCAGAUCGCAACUCUGUUCAAGUCAUUUCACCGAGGAGAACUCCGACAGGACCGGCCAGACUGUUAGAUUACGACAAAAUGCAGUUCCCACAAUAUUUGACUUUCCUGAUCAUCUUCUAAAGUGUCCGUUUCUGAAUUUACGACCCCUUGAGGUCCCCACAGGACAAAAAAGCCCCAUUGAUUCCCAAUGUAAGCACUUUUUUUUUUUUUAAAUGCACGGUCAUUAUACAAUACACUCAUGCAUUUUCUCAUUUCAGGGUUUCAUUUUGGAGACAAAUAGUCCAAUUUGUCAUAUUUACUGUUUAGAAUUAGAUGGGGGUUAAUCUUAUGACUUUGUUUUUAAUUAUUAACUAUCAAUUAAAUUAUUAAUUAAACUAUUUAAAAAGUAGCGGAAAAUAUUCAGUUUCUCUCCCUAGCACCAAAUAAGAUUGAAUUAUUUAACAGCUAUUUAUGAAUUCAUUUAAUUGGAUCACUACUUUCACAUUCCCAUUCAAAAUUGUGUGUGUGUGUGUGUGUGUGUGUGUGGUUAUAAACUCACCACUUUUCUCCAGAUAAUAUCUGGCCUCCAUUAAUAGGCGGCCCUGCGGCUUCAAGUCCAACUGAGACAGAAAAACACACGAAAUGGCAAUUUUGCAGCAAAACUCCACAACAAUCAACAUAAAAAGCACAAUGUUGAUAUUUGAUGUACACUAUACUUGUAUAAGUGUUAGUAUGCAGUUCUUGAUCAAUUCAUCAACCAGGCAGAGGUUGGACAUGAGUGACCAGUGUUUCUUCAUGUUCUGUUGUUAAACAAGGUGUAAAAACUAGGGAUGUCCCGAUGUUCAAUCUUCAGGAUAGGGAUCAGCUGCCGACCUGCUGUAUUUUGAAGAUCGGAUAAAAUCAGUGUUCGCCACGAGAUCAGGCCGUAUGACGUUUGUAACUGUGGGCCACACUCCAACAUGGCAGGUGCGGUAAUGUGCCUCAAAGCUGGUUGCCACUCGACUCCCGCCACCCGCAAGAAGAAGAAAACGCAACACCACCAUGCAGACAUGUCCGCGGUGUACUGUGGUGAAGUUAGUUUCACGUUGGACGUAGGAUAUUCAGGUCCGUAGCUACAGCGGUCGUUACCCAUCAAUGUGCCCUGGACUGCUGUCAUGGUGCGGGGUGCUCACACGGGAAGUGCCGCUCAACCGCUGAUUGUUUAUACUAGAGACCGUCAACAAAUUACUAUUGUGUUGAAGAGAGUUUGUUAAAAAAAAAAAAGUAAUAUAUUCUAAAUCACACCACAAAUGGAUUUAUAACCAUAUCAAAUUACCCUUACCCUAAAAGUAUUUUGCAUGCCCAUUUUUUCCAAUUUUAUCUUUUAUUGGAUGGACUUUUAUUGGCUCAGGGACAAUAAUGUUGGUCAAAAGCUUAUUAAAAAAAAAAAAAAAGGAUCGGUACGGGAUCGGAUCGGCAAGACUAUAAAGAAAUCAGAUCGGAUCAGAAGCCAAAAAAUGUGGACCGGGACAUCCCUAGUAAAAACAUACAUACACAGAUAAUGUGGCACAUUUUUUAUGACACAAACCAAAAAGUAUUAAAUCUUUAUCUUAGCAAGACAUGUUGGACAAUUGUAUGCUGCCAACUUUGUGCGAACACUUUGGGGAAGAUUUUUUUUUGUUCCCAGUGCACAAAGCAAGGUCCAUAAAGGCAUGCUUGGAGUUUGCUGUUGGAGAAGCUGGCCUCAACCCCAUAGAAGUGUGUAUCAUGGAUGUUUUUUCCGUCAAAUUAGUAGCUGUGAGCUGUGAGUAAGCGCGAACAGGUGGCGCGGUUGCUCUAAAUGGACGUGUAAUGUGCGCCCAAAGCAUUUUUUUCUUGCGCAAGCAAACACGCACCCACAUCUCCAGCUUGCCGCUUUCCUUCUUGCAGCGUGUCGCCAGCGAGUCCAACACGACGGUGGCCUCAGACUUGAGCUCGGCCGUGCGGUCCUUCACCAUGACGUGCAUGAUGCGCCCGCGGUGCACGUGCGCGUCGAACGUGGUGCUCCAAGGGGGGUACAUGGUGGGCUUCUUCUGCUUGUACACCUGACCCUUUUCUGGAGGGGGGGAAAAGCACAGCAGUUUUAAAAACAUUAAUAUAAUUGUCCAUUUUGUUCGAUGCUGAGGUCAAGUCCUUGCUUGUUUGAAAAAACACAACGAAUCUUCCACUGGCGAGGAGCGGGCAGAUCUAUUUAACAUAGAUAAACAUCACAGGUUGCCAACGCGCCGUCUAAACCUUUGACCUUCUGCCCGAUAGAUCCGUGUGAUUAUCGGCUCUCAUUGACAUCUGCUCAUUUUUCUGCGCGCAAUAACAUCGCACAGAUCCACUUGCAUAACGGCCACAUGCCUCCACAAUAAAACCCGCUAAGCUUUUGACUCCCAAAGUGCCGCGUGUGCCUGAGAGCCAACGCGUCUGCUGUCGACGUGACAUGUCUUUUUAGAGUAGUCACUUCCUGUGUUUUUCUGUGAAAAGGCCUCAAAACGAGAGACUUUGAAAGAUGUCAACACACUUCUUGGUUGCUUUUGUUGCAGCCUCGGUGUAACACCAGAGGACUAAAAUGUAUUUAUAAAGUGGUUUAUAAAGUGGUUUAUAAACAGAUUCUCAGUUUGACUGUACGCUAUAAAGUUUUUCCGUUAACACACUUUACACACACACACACACACACACAAAAGGGGAAACUGACUUGACGACAUGAGAAACGUGAAGCAUCAACGAUUUAAUCACUUAGUUCUGAAUCUUUUUUUUUUUUUUUUUGGUACACUUACUGGGAUUUUUAUUAGGUAAACCAUUAUCACGAUCUCAUAGACAAAUUCUGCCUGUACGAAGAUAUUAACCCUCAUUUUUCUGCAUGAAUCAGUGCAAACUAUGAGCACGAUAAUAAAAAUGUGAAAUGAAUGCCUCUCUGACAGUGCCAGCCAAAAAGG